GAUGAACGCUGGCGGCGUGCCUAAUACAUGCAAGUCGAGCGAACAGAUGAGGAGCUUGCUCCUCUGACGUUAGCGGCGGACGGGUGAGUAACACGUGGAUAACCUACCUAUAAGACUGGGAUAACUUCGGGAAACCGGAUCUAAUACCGGAUAAUAUAUUGAACCGCAUGGUUCAAUAGUGAAAGACGGUUUUGCUGUCACUUAUAGAUGGAUCCGCGCCGCAUUAGCUAGUUGGUAAGGUAACGGCUUACCAAGGCAACGAUGCGUAGCCGACCUGAGAGGGUGAUCGGCCACACUGGAACUGAGACACGGUCCAGACUCCUACGGGAGGCAGCAGUAGGGAAUCUUCCGCAAUGGGCGAAAGCCUGACGGAGCAACGCCGCGUGAGUGAUGAAGGUCUUCGGAUCGUAAAACUCUGUUAUUAGGGAAGAACAAAUGUGUAAGUAAAUAUGCACGUCUUGACGGUACCUAAUCAGAAAGCCACGGCUAACUACGUG
rnacentral:rRNA from 1 species